AUAUUUAGUCAUACAUAUUUUACAUAAGUGAUUUGAACUUUAUUGCUUGCUUUUUGCAGUCUCUUAGGGAAACCAUAAAUCAAGAAUAUAGGGAGGUUGUUGAGAGAAGAGUCUUCACAGUAACGGGUAAUCGGCCUGAUGAAGAGACUAUUGACCGGCUGAUAGAGACAGGAAAUAGCGAGCAAAUCUUCCAGAAGGCAAUCCAGGAGCAAGGACGUGGUCAGGUAGUGGACACCCUUGCAGAAAUCCAAGAGCGUCACGAUGCCAUCAAAGAUUUGGAAAGAAAGCUUCUUGAGCUGCAGCAGGUAUUUGGUUUAAGAUAUUGAACAAAGAACUUGAAAAGUUACAUAACAGUUCAGGGUCUUAUGCUGCAUUUAU